GAUGAACGCUGGCGGCGUGCCUAAUACAUGCAAGUCGAGCGAACAGAUGAUUAGGGUGCUUCUCUCACGUUAGCGGCGGACGGGUGAGAAACACGUUGAUAACCUACCUAUAAUACUGGGAUAACUUCGGGACUCCUGAGCUAAUACCGGAUAAUUUAUUUAACCGCAUGGUUCAAUGGUUAUAGGCGGUGUUUCGGUCACUUAUAGAUGGAUCCGCGCCGCAUUAGCUAGUUGGUAAGGUAACGGCUUAGCAAGGCAACGAUGCGUAGCCGAACUGAGAGGGUGAUCGGCCACACUGGAACGGAGACACGGUCCAGACUACUACGGGAGGCAGCAGUAGGGAAUCUUACGCAAUGGGCGAAAGCUUGACGGAGCAACGCCGCGUGAGUGAUGAAGGUCUUCGGAUCGUAAAACUCUGUUAUUAGGGAAGAACAAAUGUGUAAGUAACUAUGCACGUAUUGACGGUACCUAAUCAGAAAGCCACGGCUAACUACGUG
rnacentral:rRNA from 1 species